rnacentral:rRNA from 1 species
AUGGACAUUGCUCAGGAGGGUGAGAGGGAUCAUGUCCAAGACCAUGACCAUGUUAUCGUGGUCGCCGGAGAUCAAGGGGAAGGAGAAGGCGAAGAGACGACGAUGGAUGGGUCGGUGGAUUGGAACGGCAGCCCGUGCCUGAGAGCCAAAUCUGGUGGAUGGCCUGCCGGACUCCUCAUCCUGCUCAACCAGGCGCUUGCGACGAUGGCGGUGAACGGCGUGAGCAUCAACCUGGUGACCUUCAUGAGGGUGGUGAUGCAGCUGGACAACGCCAACGCCGCCAAGCAUGUGAGCAACUGGUCCGGCACCACCUACGUCUUCUCCAUCGUCGGCGCCAUCAUCGCCGACUCCUACUGGGGAAGAUACAAGUCCUGCAUCAUCUUCCAGCUCAUCUUCCUCGCCGGACUGGUGGAGCUCGCCAUAUCCUCCUAUUUCUUCCUGCACAACUUCAGCUGCGAGUCGGAAUCGGGUGACACCAAGACCUGCAGGACACCAACGGCAGCCGAGAUAGCGAUAUUCUAUGUGGCCAUAUACAAGAUCGCACUCGGGAACGGAGCCUACCAGCCCACCAACACGACGUUCGGCGCCGACCAGUUCGACGAGGAGCACACCAAGGAGAAGAGGUCCAAGACGGCCUUCUACGGCUACUUCUUCGUGGCCAACAACCUGGGCAGCCUGGUGGCCGUCACUUUUCUCACCUACAUCGAGGACCAGGGGAGAUGGGCGGCCGCCUUCGUGAUCUCAGCGGCGGCGGCUCUUCUCGGCCUCCUCCUGUUCGCCGCCGGGACCAAGAGGUUCAGGCACUUCAUGCCCUGCGGGAACCCUGCCGCCACCGUGGGAAAUGUCUUGGUUGCUGCAACGAAGAAGAGGCACCUCACCGUCCCAACCCAAGUGGAAAAACUGUAUGAGGUGGAUGGAACUCACAGUGUUAAUGGGGGCAAGAAGAUUGCACACACACCAGGAUACAGGUUUUUGGACAAGGCGGCGGUGAUCGAGGACCCAUCCAUCCUUCUACCGGGCGAGCAGCCAGCAUCCAGGCCGCGGCGGCUCUACACAGUCACUCAAGUGGAGCAAGUGAAAUGCAUCCUUCAACUCAUUCCAAUAUGGCUAUGCAGCAUCAUCUACUCCACCACAUACUCGCAGAUGUCCUCGGUGUUCAUCGAGCAAGCACAGGCCAUGGACAACACCAUCAACAAAUUCACGAUCCCCGCCGCAGGCAUCGGCAUCUUCGAGAUCAUCGGCGUAACAUCAUUCGUCUUCAUCUACACAUUCUGCAUCGCCAAACCCCUGUCGAAGAGAUCAAAGGAGCCAACCGAGCUCCAGAGGAUGGGCAUCGGGCUCGUCAUAUCAACCACAGCGAUGAUCGCGGCGGCGCUGGUGGAGCGGCAGAGGCUGAAGCACGCGGACCGGUACCGCCUGAGCGUCCUCUGGCAGAUCCCCCAGUACCUGCUGAUCGGGGCGUCGGAGGUGUUCAUGUACGUGACCAUGACGGAGUUCUUCAACGACCAGCUCCCGGACGGCAUGAGGAGCCUCGGCAGCGCAAUGUCCGGGGCGUCCAUGUCGGCCGGGAGCUACGCGAACAGCCUGAUCGUGUCGCUGGUCAUGGCGGGCAGCCGCAGCGGGGGCCAAGCCGGGUGGAUACCGCAGAACCUCAACCAGGGCCAUGUGGACAGGUUCUUCUUCCUCAUCGCCGCGCUCAACGCGGCCGACCUGGUGCUCUUCGUGCUGCUCGCCAAGAGGUACAAGGCGGUGGCGAAACCUGCGGCGGCAGUGGCCAUCGGGUCGAUCAGGUGA